GAUGAAGAACGUAGUAAAAUGCGAUAAGUAAUGUGAAUUGCAGAAUUCAGUGAAUCAUCGAAUCUUUGAACGCACAUUGCGCCCGCCAGUAUUCUGGCGGGCAUGCCUGUUCGAGCGUCAUUUCAACCCUCAAGCACAGCUUGGUGUUGGGACUCGCGUUAAUUCGCGUUCCCCAAAUUGAUUGGCGGUCACGUCGAGCUUCCAUAGCGUAGUAGUAAAACCCUCGUUACUGGUAAUCGUCGCGGCCACGCCGUUAAACCCCAACUUCUGAAUGUUGACCUCGGAUCAGGUAGGAGUACCCGCUGAACUUAAGCAUAUCAAUAAGCGGAGGA
rnacentral:misc_RNA from 1 species